GGGGGUGUAGCUCAGUGGGUAGAGCAUCUGCUUUGCAAGCAGAAGGUCAGGGGUUCGAAUCCCCUUCACCUCCA
rnacentral:tRNA from 1 species